AAGUCGGACGGACACCUUCGGGUGUCAGUGGCGGACGGGUGAGUAACGCGUAGGAAUCUACCUCUGGGAGGGGGAUAACAGCUGGAAACGGCUGCUAAUACCCCAUACAGGCGCGAGCUGAAAGGAGCAAUCCGCCUAGGGAUGAGCCUGCGUCGGAUUAGCUAGUUGGUGGGGUAAUGGCCUACCAAGGCGACGAUCCGUAGCGGGUCUGAGAGGAUGGCCCGCCACACUGGGACUGAGACACGGCCCAGACUCCUACGGGAGGCAGCAGUGGGGAAUUUUCCGCAAUGGGCGAAAGCCUGACGGAGCAAUACCGCGUGAGGGAGGAAGGCCUUCGGGUUGUAAACCUCUUUUCAGGGAGAAGAG
rnacentral:rRNA from 1 species